UACGUAGGGGGCAAGCGUUGUCCGGAAUCACUGGGCGUAAAGCGUGCGUAGGCGGUUUGGCAAGUCUGAGGUGAAAGUCCAGAGCUCAACUUUGGGAAUGCCUUGGAAACUGUCAGACUUGAGUGCUGGAGAGGCAAGGGGAAUUCCACGUGUAGCGGUGAAAUGCGUAGAUAUGUGGAGGAAUACCAGUGGCGAAGGCGCCUUGCUGGACAGAAACUGACGCUGAGGCACGAAAGCGUGGGGAG
rnacentral:rRNA from 1 species